AACGAACGCUGGCGGCAUGCCUAACACAUGCAAGUCGAACGAGACCUUCGGGUCUAGUGGCGCACGGGUGCGUAACGCGUGGGAACCUGCCCUUAGGUUCGGAAUAACUCCCCGAAAGGGGUGCUAAUACCGGAUAAUGUCUUCGGACCAAAGAUUUAUCGCCUUUGGAUGGGCCCGCGUUGGAUUAGCUAGUUGGUAGGGUAAAAGCCUACCAAGGCGACGAUCCAUAGCUGGUCUGAGAGGAUGAUCAGCCACACUGGGACUGAGGCACGGCCCAGACUCCUACGGGAAGCAGCAGUGGGGAAUAUUGGACAAUGGGCGAAAGCCUGAUCCAGCAAUGCCGCGUGAGUGAUGAAGGCCUUAGGGUUGUAAAGCUCUUUUACCCGGGAUGAUAAUGACAGUACCGGGAGAAUAAGCUCCGGCUAACUCCGUG
rnacentral:rRNA from 1 species